rnacentral:rRNA from 1 species
GACGUAGGGCGCAAGCGUUGUCCGGAUUUAUUGGGCGUAAAGAGCUCGUAGGCGGCCUGUCGCGUCGACCGUGAAAACCCGCAGCUCAACUGCGGGCUUGCGGUCGAUACGGGCAGGCUCGAGUUCGGUAGGGGAGACUAGGAUUCCUGGUGUAGCGGUGAAAUGCGCAGAUAUCAGGAGGAACACCGGUGGCGAAGGCGGGUCUCUGGGCCGAUACUGACGCUGAGGUACGAAAGCGUGGGUAGCGAACGGG